AUUGAACGCUGGCGGCAGGCUUAACACAUGCAAGUCGAACGAGUGGCGGACGGGUGAGUAAUGCUUGGGAAUCUAGCUUAUGGAGGGGGAUAACUACGGGAAACUGUAGCUAAUACCGCGUACCAUAGGAUGAGCCCAAGUGGGGUUAGGUAGUUGGUGAGGUAAAGGCUCCCCAAGCCGACGAUCUCUAGCUGGUCUGAGAGGAUGACCCGCCAAACGGGGAAGGGGACACGGCCCAGAAUCCUACGGGGGGCAGGAGUGGGGGAUAUUGGGCAAAGGGGGCAACCUGACGCAGCCCUGGCGCGGGAAUGAAGAAGGCCUUCGGGUUGUAAAGUUUUUUUGGUAGCGAAGAGUUAACCACAGAAAAAGGCCCGGCUAACUCCGUGCCAGCAGGCGCGGUAAUAC
rnacentral:rRNA from 1 species